AAACUGAAGAGUUUGAUCAUGGCUCAGAUUGAACGCUGGCGGCAGGCCUAACACAUGCAAGUCGAGCGGUAACAGAUCUAGCUUGCUAGAUGCUGACGAGCGGCGGACGGGUGAGUAAUGCAUAGG
rnacentral:rRNA from 1 species